CCUGUUUCUCCUCUAUGAUCCUGCCCCAGUUGACGCUCGGCAGGCCCUCAGAACGGGUCAGGUGGUAGAUGCGGUCGUGGUCCUCUCUCAGCUUCCUUAGUCUCACUCUCAGCUGCUUCAUACUGGAGGAGACGACACAGGGUGAGGACACAGGGUGAGGACACAGGGUGAGGACACAGGGUGAGGACACAGGGUGAGGACACAGGGUGACGACACAGGGUGACGACACAGGGUGACGACACAGGGUGACGACACAGGGUGACGACACAGGGUGACGACACAGGGUUAGUUAAAACUCAACAGUGGAGUGAGUGGAGCUCAGGGUCGGGCUAAAGAGGGUAUAAUAUCUAUUAUAAACUGGGUGGUUCCAGCCCUGAAUGCUGAUUGGCUGACAGUCGUGGUACAUCAGACCAUAUACCACACUCCCUUGUGCCUUAUUGCUUAAGUGUAUCAGUGUAUUACAUCUACUAUAUAACUCACUCCUGAUCUAUCAUCUCAGCCUGGCGGUGCUACAUAUCUACUAUAUAAUAUAGGUCCUGCUCAAUCAUCUCAGCCUGUCGGUGCUGCAGGUACAUAUCUACUAUAUAAUAUAACUCCUGCUCUAUCAUCUCAGCCUGGCGGUGCUGCAGGUACAUAUCUACUAUAUAAUAUAACUCCUGCUCUAUCAUCUCAGCCUGGCGGUGCUGCAGGUACAUAUCUACUAUAUAAUAUAACUCCUGCUCUAUCAUCUCAGCCUGGUGGUGCUGCAGGUACAUAUCUACUAUAUAAUAUAACUCCUGCUCUAUCAUCUCAGCCUGGCGGUGCUGCAGGUACAUAUCUAC
ensembl:lncRNA